rnacentral:rRNA from 1 species
AACGGAGAGUUUGAUCCUGGCUCAGGAUGAACGCUGGCGGCGUGCUUAACACAUGCAAGUCGAACGAACCUUCGGGUUAGUGGCGGACGGGUGAGUAACGCGUGAGAAUCUGCCCUCAGGAGGGGGAUAACGGUUGGAAACGACCGCUAAUACCCCAUAUGCCGCGAGGUGAAAUGAAUUUCGCCUGAGGAUGAGCUCGCGUCUGAUUAGCUAGUUGGUGGGGUAAAGGCCUACCAAGGCAUCGAUCAGUAGCUGGUCUGAGAGGAUGAUCAGCCACACUGGGACUGAGACACGGCCCAGACUCCUACGGGAGGCAGCAGUGGG